AGAGGGAUAGCUGGGUCAAAUGGUAGUCACAUUCCCAGUUUUCAUAGGAAUAUCCAUACUGUUUUCCAUAUUGGCUACACCAAUUUCCAGUCCCACCAGCAAU
rnacentral:pre_miRNA from 1 species